rnacentral:rRNA from 1 species
UGAAUACGAGAUGCUACGGCGUCGAAGCAGUCUAUGUCAUACUUCCAAGAAAAGCUUGCACUGUCAUAAACAAAUAAUGCCUGUACCAUAACCGACACAGGUGGGUAGGUAGAGUAUACUAAGGGGCGCGAGAUAACUCUCUCUAAGGAACUCGGCAAAAUGACUCCGUAACUUCGGGAGAUGGAGUGCCUUAUUUAUAAGGUUGCAAUAACAAGAUCCAAGCAACUGUUUACCAAAAACACAGGUCUCCGCUAAGUCGUAAGACGAUGUAUGGGGGCUGACGCCUGCCCAGUGCCAGAAGGUUAAAGAAGUUGGUUAGCAUCCGCGAAGCUGAUAACUGAAGCCCUGGUGAACGGCGGCCGUAACAAUAACGGUCCUAAGGUAGCGAAAUUCCUUGUCGGGUAAGUUCCGACCCGCACGAAAGGCGUAAUGAUUUGGAUACUGUCUCGGAGAGGGGCUCGGUGAAAUAGACUUGUCUGUGAAGAUGCGGACUACCUGCACCAGGACAGAAAGACCCUAUGAAGCUUUACUGUAACCUGAAAUUGAAAUUGGACUUUACUUGCGCAGUAUAGGUGGGAGGCGUUGAGAAUAUUCUUGCGGGAUUAUUGGAGCCAUCAGUGAGAUACCACUCUUGUAAUGUUAGAUUUCUAACUUUGUAUCAUUAUCUGGUCAAAGAACAGUUUCAGGCGGGCAGUUUGACUGGGGCGGUCGCCUCCUAAACGGUAACGGAGGCGCACAAAGGUUUCCUCUGAACGGGUAGAAAUCGUAUCUAGAGUGUAAAGGCAUAAGGAAGCUUGACUGUGAGACCUACAAGUCGAGCAGGGACGAAAGUCGGUCUUAGUGAUCUGACGGUGCUGAGUGGAAAGGCCGUCACUCAACGGAUAAAAGUUACUCUAAGGAUAACAGGCUGAUCUCCCCCAAGAGUUCACAUCGACGGGGAGGUUUGGCACCUCGAUGUCGGCUCAUCGCAUCCUGGGGCGGUAGUACGUCCCAAGGGUUGGGCUGUUCGCCCAUGAAAGCGGUACGCGAGCUGGGUUCAGAACGUCGUGAGACAGUUCGGUCCAUAUCCGGUGUAGGCGUUAGAAUAUUGAGAGGAGCCUUCUUUAGUACGAGAGGACCGAGAAGGACAUACCUCUGGUGUACCAGUUAUCGUGCCAACGGUAAACGCUGGGUAGCUAUGUGUGGAGUGGAUAACCGCUGAAAGCAUCUAAGUGGGAAGCCCACCUCAAGAUAAGUAUUCUC